rnacentral:lncRNA from 1 species
AUCUGACUACUCUAGGUACCUCAGAUGAGUGGAAUUAUGCAGUAUUUGUCCUUUUGUGUGUGAUUUGAUAAAUGUUUAAUAAUUUAUCAAACUCAGAAAAUUUUGGGACAAAGUACCAUUUAAAGAUAAAGCAAAUAAGUACAGCUAAAUAUUGUAAUAGUGUAUAGGUGUUACACUGAAGCCUGUGUAUAAGCAUUAACUAUGUACCAAUAAAUGCAAAGAAAAUAAACUUUGGUUAUAGCUUAUCUAAAUUAAUCUCAGAAUUUGACAAUUAAACAUAUGAAUUUGUAAUAAACAUUCUGCAUUUUUUUAAAAUUCAUCAUAUUUGUAACAGUGCCAAAAUAAUCUAAAAUCAGAACGCUUUCUGAGUAUAAUUAUAUUAUUAUAAUUCUCUACCUUGACAGAUGACAAUUUUAGAACACCCUAAAUACAAUUUCUAGUAUAUGCACUAAAAUAAAAUGUAACAGAUAGACAACUCACCAUAGUAUAAGUAACACAUUCAAAUUUAGUAAUUUAUUUUCCAGGUGGAAACCAGGCUUCUUGGAAGACUUCAAACUAUGCCAAAUGGUCUGAUUUCACCAUAGAGUAAUGGUUGCAGCUCUGCAUUUAUGGUAUAGGUUACAGCCAAGACUGGAUACAAUCUCAUCUCAUAAUAUCCAAAAGAAUAAAGCAAAAUAAAACCUCCUUCACCCUCGCACAUUAAAAGGAAUCAACAUCUUGACCCAAAGUUCAAACUCCUAGAACUUGUAAAUAUCUGUAAAACCCCCAACACCAAGGUUUCUGUAACCUGUCACAUCAGAGAAAUAGGGAGAUCUUCCACCACGGAAAUAUGACUAUUAAGAAUUCACAGAUUACCUGAAACAUUUACUAAUCACCUCCCACCCCCAACACCCCCUCCUCCGAGGGAAAAAGAAAAAGGGAGUGAGAGAGGAAGACUCAAAGCACUGGGGAAAGCCUGCUAUGAAAAUGCCAGGCCUUUCUUGGGGCUUAGACCGUCAACCUAAUCCUAGCCAGAACUAUCGCAGGACUAUAAUAGGGCAACAGAGUACUUUGUGUUUGAGAAUUGGGGUAGGAGGACCAGGAUGUGAAGACAUCUAACAAAUUUGUUUGUUUCUUUAUUGUUUGUUUUGUCCACACAAAAAGAAAGUUGAAUUAGGCAGUCUUUAACAUUUUCUUUUAAAAACAACUAUUCCUUGAAUUAUUUUAAAGUGAAAAGUCAUUAUUUUUACAGUCCUUCCAAAGGAUAUUAACAAGAUAGUUUUUGAAUGUAUUCAUGGUAUAGCCCUAAACAACAAAGGACACAUGGGCAAGUGCCAGGAUAUCCAGGCCUUCUGGAUUCCAAGGGGACAUUCAACCAUGGGAGAUGGGUUAAACGUCAAAGGGUUGCAUAAUCAGGUACAGAUUCUCUGAAAAUGUGUGAGUGAUUUUGAGAUAGACAUAACCCUCUAUAGUCAGGACAAGGGGAUAACAUGUUUGAGAACUUACUUCAGUCCUAUUAGGGGAUUGAUGCUUCAGAGAAAAGAGGACUACAAUAAGAUGAAAGCUACAGCUAUGCAGUAAAUAAACGUGGCAUAAUCAUUCUGAAUAUUCUAGUGCUUGGUGCACUUUAAAGUGUGUGAAUUCAUCCAUGAGGAGCUCUG